AGUGAACGCUCGCGGUAGGCCUAACACAUGCAAGUCGAACGGCAGCACAGUAAGAGCUUGCUCUUACGGGUGGCGAGUGGCGGACGGGUGAGGAAUACAUCGGAAUCUACUUUUUCGUGGGGGAUAACGUAGGGAAACUUACGCUAAUACCGCAUACGACCUACGGGUGAAAGCAGGGGAUCUUCGGACCUUGCGCGAUUGAAUGAGCCGAUGUCGGAUUAGCUAGUUGGCGGGGUAAAGGCCUACCAAGGCGACGAUCCGUAGCUGGUCUGAGAGGAUGAUCAGCCACACUGGAACUGAGACACGGUCCAGACUCCUACGGGAGGCAGCAGUGGGGAAUAUUGGACAAUGGGCGCAAGCCUGAUCCAGCCAUACCGCGUGGGUGAAGAAGGCCUUCGGGUUGUAAAGCCCUUUUGUUGGGAAAGAAAAGCAGCAGGUUAAUACCCCGCUGUUCUGACGGUACCCAAAGAAUAAGCACCGGCUAACUUCGUG
rnacentral:rRNA from 1 species